UACACUCCUACGGGAGGCAGCAGUGGGGAAUUUUGGACAAUGGGCGAAAGCCUGAUCCAGCAAUGCCGCGUGUGUGAAGAAGGCCUUCGGGUUGUAAAGCACUUUUGUCCGGAAAGAAAUCCUUGGCUCUAAUACAGUCGAGGGAUGACGGUACCGGAAGAAUAAGCACCGGCUAACUACGUGCCAGCAGCCGCGGUAAUACGUAGGGUGCGAGCGUUAAUCGGAAUUACUGGGCGUAAAGCGUGCGCAGGCGGUUUGCUAAGACCGAUGUGAAAUCCCCGGGCUCAACCUGGGAACUGCAUUGGUGACUGGCAGGCUAGAGUAUGGCAGAGGGGGGUAGAAUUCCACGUGUAGCAGUGAAAUGCGUAGAGAUGUGGAGGAAUACCGAUGGCGAAGGCAGCCCCCUGGGCCAAUACUGACGCUCAUGCACGAAAGCGUGGGGAGCAAACAGGAUUAGAAACCCCAGUAGUCCCAUG
rnacentral:rRNA from 1 species